ACUGCACAACUAGCUCUUGAAGAUUGACAAGCAUUGUGCUUUGUAAUGAUUGAAAAAUCAUUACCAUGAAUCAAUGAAAAUUGAAAUAUGCUAAACACAAGGUAGAAUUGGAGCUUUGUGCAUAAAA